CUGACCGUAAACUAUGCCAUCUAACGAGUCGGUAUUGGUUAUUAAUUGCCAUUUUGACGAGUUACCCGGAAACGAAAGUCUUUCGGUUCCGGGGGGAGUAUGGUUGCAAAACUGAAACUUAAAGGGAUUGACGGAAAGUCACCACCAGAAAUGGAGCCUGCGGCUUAAUUUGACUCAACACGGGAAAACUCACCCGGUCUAGACACUAAAAUGAAUGACAGACUGAUAUAUCUCUCAAGAUAUAGUGCAAAGUGGUGCAUGGCCGUUCUUAGUUCGUGGAGUAAUCUGUCUGGUUAAUUUCGAUAACGAACGAGACUAGAACAUAGUUAAUUGUGUGUAAUAUUAUUAUUUUAUUACACGGUGAUAAAUGGAUAUGCAAAUUAAAUUGCCUGAAAACUGGCAAUAACAGGUCUGUUAUGCCCUUAGUUGUCCGGGGCCGCACGCGCGCUACAAUGGAAAUUGCAGUGCGUAUAUACUAUAUCGAAAGAUAUGGUUAAACGUGUCAAAUUAUUCCGCAUUCGGGAUCGGAGACUGUAAUUGUUUCCGUGAACGAGGAACUUCAAGUAAGUGUGUGUCAUUAGCGCACGCUG
rnacentral:rRNA from 1 species